rnacentral:tRNA from 1 species
GCCUUUAUAGCUAAAUUAAGUAAGCGACUCUUAAUCGCUGGAUGUAAUAUUAAUUACUUGAGGUA